CAGUCGCCGCGGUAAUACGGAGGGUGCAAGCGUUAAUCGGAAUUACUGGGCGUAAAGCGCACGCAGGCGGUUUGUUAAGUCAGAUGUGAAAUCCCCGAGCUUAACUUGGGAACUGCAUUUGAAACUGGCAAGCUAGAGUCUUGUAGAGGGGGGUAGAAUUCCAGGUGUAGCGGUGAAAUGCGUAGAGAUCGGGAGGAACAUCAGUGGCGAAGGCGGCCAUCUGGGACAACACUGACGCUGAGGCACGAAAGCGUGGGGAGCAAACAGGAUUAGAUACCCCUGUAGUCCCUGUCUCUUAUAC
rnacentral:rRNA from 1 species